CUGGCAAGGGCGGUUUCUUUCCUCAAAGGAAAGGGCACGGCGGGAAUCGGCAGAAAACUCAUACAGAAUAUUAACAGAAAUAGAAGUCAAAUCUUAAAAGAUGUUGUCCUCUUGCUUCAUAUUAAAAGAACUGCAAUUAUCUUUAUAAUUAUAGACCAUACUCACUUCAGUUUCCGUUUUAUUAAAAUUAUCUUCAAUAUACAGUACAGUAGAGAAC
rnacentral:lncRNA from 1 species